rnacentral:rRNA from 1 species
GAUGAACGCUAGCGGCAGGCCUAAUACAUGCAAGUCGAACGGUGUCUUCGGACAUAGUGGCGCACGGGUGCGUAACACGUAUGCAACCUACCUUACAUUGGGGGAUAGCCUUUCGAAAGGGAGAUUAAUACCGCAUAAGACAGUAGCUGGGCAUCCAGCAGCUGUUAAAGAUUUAUCGAUGUAUGCCGGGCAUGCGUCCAAUUAGCUAGUUGGUGAGGUAACGGCUCACCAAGGCAAUGAUUGGUAGGGGAACUGAGAGGUCAAUCCCCCACACUGGCACUGAGAUACGGGCCAGACUCCUACGGGAGGCAGCAGUAGGGAAUAUUGGGCAAUGGACGCAAGUCUGACCCAGCCAUGCCGCGUGCAGGAUGAAGGCGUUAUGCGUUGUAAACUGCUUUUAUACAGGAAGAGACGACUCUUGCGAGAGGCAUUGACGGUACUGUAUGAAUAAGCACCGGCUAACUCCGUGCCAGCCGCCGCGGUAAACC